rnacentral:rRNA from 1 species
AUACCCUGGUGGUCCACGCCGUAAACGAUGAGUGCUAGGUGUUGGACCCUUUCCGGGACUCAGUGCCGCAGCUAACGCAUUAAGCACUCCGCCUGGGGAGUACGACCGCAAGGUUGAAACUCAAAGGAAUUGACGGGGGCCCGCACAAGCGGUGGAGCAUGUGGUUUAAUUCGAAGCAACGCGAAGAACCUUACCAGGUCUUGACAUCCCGGUGCCCGUCCUAGAGAUAGGAUUUUGCUUCGGCACACCGGUGACAGGUGGUGCAUGGUUGUCGUCAGCUCGUGUCGUGAGAUGUUGGGUUAAGUCCCGCAACGAGCGCAACCCUUAUUGUUAGUUGCCAUCAUUCAGUUGGGCACUCUAGCGAGACUGCCGGUAAUAAACCGGAGGAAGGUGGGGAUGACGUCAAAUCAUCAUGCCCCUUAUGACCUGGGCUACACACGUGCUACAAUGGCUGGUACAACGAGUCGCAAGUCGGUGACGGCAAGCUAAUCUCUUAAAGCCAGUCUCAGUUCGGAUUGUAGGCUGCAACUCGCCUACAUGAAGUCGGAAUCGCUAGUAAUCGCGGAUCAGCACGCCGCGGUGAAUACGUUCCCGGGCCUUGUACACACCGCCCGUCACACCACGAGAGUUUGUAACACCCGAAGUCGGUGAGGUAACCUUUUAGGAGCCAGCCGCCUAAGGUGGGUUAGAUGAUUGGGGUGAAGUCGUAACAAGGUAGCCG